GACGAACGCUGGCGGCGUGCUUAACACAUGCAAGUCGAACGGAAAGGCCCUGCUUUUGUGGGGUGCUCGAGUGGCGAACGGGUGAGUAACACGUGAAUAACCUGCCCUUGACUUGGGGAUAACUUCAGGAAACUGGGGCUAAUACCGGAUAGGAGCUCCUGCUGCGUGGUGGGUGUUGGAAAGUUUCGGCGGUUGGGGAUGGACUCGGGGCUUAUUAGCUUGUUGGUGGGGUAGUGGCUUACCAAGGCUUUGACGGGUAGCCGGCCUGAGAGGGUGACCGGCCACAUGGGGACUGAGAUACGGCCCAGACUCCUACGGGAGGCAGCAGUGGGGAAUAUUGCACAAUGGGCGGAAGCCUGAUGCAGCAACGCCGCGUGCGGGAUGACGGCCUUCGGGUUGUAAACCGCUUUCGCCUGUGACGAAGCGUGAGUGACGGUAAUGGGUAAAGAAGCACCGGCUAACUACGU
rnacentral:rRNA from 1 species